CUCCACCACUCGGCAGUGCGGCCGCUGGCCCCAAGCCUCCCAUUUCCCGUUCCAAAGAGCGAACACCUGGGGAUGCCCGGCCCAGGGCAGUGCCAAGAUCUGAUCAGGCAGUGUUUAUCCAUGCUGGACUUGGAAAGGCCCUCAUUAGAAGAGCUGUUCUGUGAUCCUUGGAUACAGGAUAUUCAUGUGCCCUAGAAGAAGGGAGAGAGUCACAGGCACACUUUGAUCCAGGGCCCUGGGAAGGAGAAGGAGCCCCUGGAGAUGCUGCACUGGGUGGGAAUGCUGCUGCUGCUGGAGACAGCGAGGAUGACAUCAAGGAUGACAACCUCUUCCUCCACCUGGCCACUGGCAAGCUGAAGAUGAUGGACUUUGAUUCUGGCACUUUCUUCAAAGCCAGGCUCCACAGCGAAUUUGCAGAUGAGUCCACACCCGGGGAAAUGCUCCCAGAUUUGGGCAUUGCCCAGCCUGGCUGGGAACCAAAGGUUCCCCCUUGGCUGGGGUGGAUGCAGCUGAUCCUUCAGUCGGCUGCCCAGCUGCUUUUGGCAGG